rnacentral:rRNA from 1 species
CUUUGGUUCUAUUUUGUUGGUUUCUAGGACCGAAGUAAUGAUUAAUAGGGACAGUUGGGGGCAUUAGUAUUUAAUUGUCAGAGGUGAAAUUCUUGGAUUUAUUGAAGACUAACUUCUGCGAAAGCAUUUGCCAAGGAUGUUUUCAUUAAUCAAGAACGAAAGUUAGGGGAUCGAAGACGAUCAGAUACCGUCGUAGUCUUAACCAUAAACUAUGCCGACUAGGGAUUGGACGAUGUUACUUUUAUUGCACUCGUUCAGCACCUUAUGAGAAAUCAAAGUUUUUAGGUUCCGGGGGGAGUAUGGUCGCAAGGCUGAAACUUAAAGGAAUUGACGGAAGGGCACCACCAGGAGUGGAGCCUGCGGCUUAAUUUGACUCAACACGG